rnacentral:lncRNA from 1 species
UUCUCCUUGCACAUUGCUUGCUGUUUGUGCAUUGUGGGUUUUCAGGCUGAGCAGCAAACUGAGUACCAGCUUUAAAUCCUCAUCACCAAAAAUGCCCUAAAGGUCUCGGGACCACAUUGUCACCACUUUGGGAAGAAAAUCAGAAGUCACUAGACAAAUACAUUUUUCUUUAGCACUUCCUCAGAAGACCCAUUUUCUAUCAUGUUAAUGAAUUGAAUGAAUGCUCUUCUCUACCAGAUAUUUUCAACAUCUUAAUAAUUGUGACAAUAAAAAAGAUAUUGUAUGUGGGCCCAACCAAUGGCCAUGGAAGUAGUUUACAUGCUGGGAUUUCAUCCACCAACCAAUAGAUGUACCCUAGAGACAUGUUGGUAUGCUUAAUGAAAGCACUCUGUUGUCUAGCCAUAGUCAGUAAUAGGUGAGCGUGACUCACAGUUUAUCUUCCACAAUUCCGUACAGCCAGAUGUUUUCGUAUCUUGAAAUUGCAGGGUUUUAAGUGAAUGGUUACAGGAGUAUUUUUGUUUGUUUGUUUGUUUGUUUUAUUUGGUUCUUUGAGAUGGAAUAAUGUUUUACUGUAUUGCCCAGGCUACACUCAAAGUGAAAUUUUUCAUUCAUGUCUGAACCUACCAAGAAGCUGAAAUUAUAGAUGUACACUACUAUGUCUGACUCCAGAUAUGUUUAAAAUAUCUCCUACAUUAUAGUAAUCUUGUUAUAAGGUGAUUUCCAUCACAAUUCCUUAACAUUAUAAUAUUCCCUUGAUAAAUACUCUACUUUAUCUUUUUUUAGAAUAAAAAAGGCAUUAACCCUCCUUUCAAAAUUCUUUUUUCUAAUCAGUCUGUACUGCUUUCUGCUCUGUUGUUCUGCAACUUGACCAUAUUUGGCCAUCAUUCCUACAUGCUAGAAUGAAAUAGACCUCAUGGACAUAAAUCACAUGACAAAGGCAUAUAUCAAAGGAAAUUCACUGAAGCAAUUUUUUAUAAAGGAGAAAUCAGAAACAACCCAAAUGCCUAGCCGUGGGAAUGUCUCGUUAUUAUGUUCACUGUAUGGAAUUUCUUGCAGUGGUUCAAAAGAAUGAGGUCAUUCUGCAAAUAUUAAUAACAAAGAUUUAUAAGAUGUGAGAAUCUGUGUCCAUGCUUGCAUAUAAAACACAUUCACCAGUAAUCAUCACUGAGAAGUUGUCAGAGGAAAUAGUGAGAUGGAAAGUAUGUGUGUGCAUGUGCAUUUGUGUGUUUAGAUAAGAUAUUGUUGGUAUUGUUUGAAUCUUUAAUCUCAAGAAUAUAUUCAUAGAAAUAACAUUUUGAGGUGUUGCCAAAAAAGGCAAAAAAAAACAAAAC